GACGAACGCUGGCGGCGUGCUUAACACAUGCAAGUCGAACGGAAAGGCCUCUUUCGGGGGGUACUCGAGUGGCGAACGGGUGAGUAACACGUGAGUAACCUGCCCUUGACUUUGGGAUAACUUCAGGAAACUGGGGCUAAUACCGGAUAGGAGCUCCUGCUGCAUGGUGGGGGUUGGAAAGUUUCGGCGGUUGGGGAUGGACUCGCGGCUUAUCAGCUUGUUGGUGGGGUAGUGGCUUACCAAGGCUUUGACGGGUAGCCGGCCUGAGAGGGUGAGCGGCCACAUUGGGACUGAGAUACGGACCAGACUCCUACGGGAGGGAGCAGUGGGGAAUAUUGCACAAUGGGUGGAAGCCUGAUGCAGAAACGCCGUGGGCGGGAUGACGGCCUUCGGGUUGUAAACCGCUUUCGCUCAUGACGAAGCUUUGUGUGACGGUAGUGGGUAAAGAAGCACCGGCUAACUACGUG
rnacentral:rRNA from 1 species